rnacentral:tRNA from 1 species
GUGGAUGUGGCUCAAUAGUAGAGUGCCUGCCUAGCAUGUGAGAGACCCUGGGUUCAAUACCCAGUACCACA